UACGUAGGGGGCAAGCGUUGUCCGGAUUUAUUGGGCGUAAAGAGCGUGUAGGCGGCCAGGUAGGUCGGUUGUGAAAACUCGAGGCUCAACCUCGAGAUGUCGACCGAAACCAUCUGGCUAGAGUCCGGAAGAGGAGAAUGGAAUUCCCGGUGUAGCGGUGAAAUGCGCAGAUAUCGAGAGGAACACCUGCGGCGAAGGCGGGUUGCUGGGCUGACACUGACGCUGAGGCGCGAAAGCCAGGGGAGCGAACGGG
rnacentral:rRNA from 1 species